rnacentral:rRNA from 1 species
AUUGAACGCUGGCGGCAUGCUUUACACAUGCAAGUCGAACGGCAGCGGGGGCUUCGGUCCGCCGGCGAGUGGCGAACGGGUGAGUAAUGCAUCGGAACGUGCCCAGUCGUGGGGGAUAACACAUCGAAAGAUGUGCUAAUACCGCAUACGUCCUGAGGGAGAAAGCGGGGGAUCUUCGGACCUCGCGCGAUUGGAGCGGCCGAUGUCGGAUUAGCUAGUUGGUGGGGUAAAAAGCCCACCAAGGCGACGAUCCGUAGCGGGUCUGAGAGGAUGAUCCGCCACACUGGGACUGAGACACGGCCCAGACUCCUACGGGAGGCAGCAGUGGGGAAUUUUGGUCAAUGGACGCAAGUCUGAACCAGCCACGUCGCGUGAAGGAAGACGGCCCUACGGGUUGUAAACUUCUUUUAUACGGGAAUAAAGUGCCCCACGUGUGGGGUUUUGCAAGUACCGUAUGAAUAAGGAUCGGCUAACUCCGUG